CCUACGGGUGGCAGCAGUGAGGAAUAUUGGUCAAUGGACGAGAGUCUGAACCAGCCAAGUCGCGUGAAGGAUGACAGCCCUAUGGGUUGUAAACUUCUUUUGUACGGGAGUAAAGCGCGAGACUUGUGCCUUUUUGAAAGUACCGUAUGAAUAAGGAUCGGCUAACUCCGUGCCAGCAGCCGCGGUAAUACGGAGGAACCGGGCGUUAUCCGGAUUUUAUGGGGUUAAAGGGUGGGUAGCCGGGUUGUUAAGUUAGUGGUGAAAGUGUGGGGUUCAACCCGCAAAUUGCAAUUAAUACUGGUGGUCUAGAGUAGAGUGGAGGUAGGCGGAAUGUGUGGUGUAGCGGUGAAAUGCUUAGAUAGCAUGCAGAACCCCGAUUGCGAAGGCAGCUUACCAAACUCUAACUGACGUUGAGGCACGAAAGCGUGGGUAUCAAACAGGAUUAGAUACCCGGGUAGUC
rnacentral:rRNA from 1 species